GUCUCUGUCCAUAUCAUCCUGAACCCGCCUAAUCUUGUCUGUUCUGGAAGCUAAGGAGGGUCAAGCCUGCUUAGUACUUGGACGGAAGACCAAAAUGGCCCUGGGAAGGCUCUCUGAAGCC
ensembl:rRNA 5S_rRNA 5S ribosomal RNA